GUGCCGGGAGCCAAUGGGCGCGCUCCUGGCCAGCCCGUCAGCAGCGCGCCUCGAACCCCGCUGCUCUUUUGAGAACCGAACCUCGGUGCGCCCGCAGCCCUGAGCCCAACGCCUACUCCAGGGGUCCAAGUGGUACCCACUGUAACGAGUACCCGGCCAGGGAGAUGGGGAGAGACCAGAAGGGCACUGGAGAAGGGAGCCCCCGGGCGGGAAGCGGGGAAGCAGUACGGAUCGUUAGAUGUGCCCGUGCUAAGUCAGAUUGGAGGGCCUUGGUUUUGGAAAGGAAACAGUCACCGCCGAUCCAUUUGGGACCUGGAACGCGACUGUGACGCCGCCUUGUCGGAGGGUAUCAACUUGCAUUCUUUCUUCAGGACGUCUCCAACCUGUCUCUUGUUGAAUGUCAGAGUAAUGGGAAGCGCCAGUGACAAGCCGGCGUAUUACUCCUGAUUAAGUGCCGUGUCAACCUAAUUAGCAGAGUAAUUAUAAGGUGCUAAUGAAUGAUUCAAA
rnacentral:lncRNA from 1 species